UGCGAGUAGAACGCUGAAGAGAGGAGCUUGCUUUUCUUGGAUGAGUUGCGAACGGGUGAGUAACGCGUAGGUAACCUGCCUUGUAGCGGGGGAUAACUAUUAGAAACGAUAGCUAAUACCGCAUAACAAUGGAUGACCCAUGUCAUUUAUUUGAAAGGGGCAAAUGCUCCACUACAAGAUGGACCUGCGUUGUAUUAGCUAGUAGGUGAGGUAACGGCUCACCUAGGCGACGAUACAUAGCCGACCUGAGAGGGUGAUCGGCCACACUGGGACUGAGACACGGCCCAGACUCCUACGGGAGGCAGCAGUAGGGAAUCUUCGGCAAUGGGGGCAACCCUGACCGAGCAACGCCGCGUGAGUGAAGAAGGUUUUCGGAUCGUAAAGCUCUGUUGUAAGUCAAGAACGAGUGUGAGAGUGGAAAGUUCACACUGUAACGGUAGCUUACCAGAAAGGGACGGCUAACUACGUGCCAGCAGCCGCGGUAAUACGUAGGUCCCGAGCGUUGUCCGGAUUUAUUGGGCGUAAAGCGAGCGCAGGCGGUUUGAUAAGUCUGAAGUUAAAGGCUGUGGCUCAACCAUAGUUCGCUUUGGAAACUGUCAAACUUGAGUGCAGAAGGGGAGAGUGGAAUUCCAUGUGUAGCGGUGAAAUGCGUAGAUAUAUGGAGGAACACCGGUGGCGAAAGCGGCUCUCUGGUCUGUAACUGACGCUGAGGCUCGAAAGCGUGGGGAGCGAACAGGAUUAGAUACCCUGGUAGUCCACGCCGUAAACGAUGAGUGCUAGGUGUUGGAUCCUUUCCGGGAUUCAGUGCCGCAGCUAACGCAUUAAGCACUCCGCCUGGGGAGUACGACCGCAAGGUUGAAACUCAAAGGAAUUGACGGGGGCCCGCACAAGCG
rnacentral:rRNA from 1 species